AGAGUUUGAUCCUGGCUCAGGAUGAACGCUAGCGACAGGCUUAACACAUGCAAGUCGAGGGGCAGCACAGGUAGCAAUACCGGGUGGCGACCGGCGCACGGGUGAGUAACGCGUAUGCAACUUGCCUAUCAGAGGGGGAUAACCCGGCGAAAGUCGGACUAAUACCGCAUGAAGCAGGGGCCCCGCAUGGGGAUAUUUGCUAAAGAUUCAUCGCUGAUAGAUAGGCAUGCGUUCCAUUAGGCAGUGGGCGGGGUAACGGCCCACCAAACCGACGAUGGAUAGGGGUUCUGAGAGGAAGGUCCCCCACAUUGGUACUGAGACACGGACCAAACUCCUACGGGAGGCAGCAGUGAGGAAUAUUGGUCAAUGGCCGAGAGGCUGAACCAGCCAAGUCGCGUGAGGGAUGAAGGUUCUAUGGAUCGUAAACCUCUUUUAUAAGGGAAUAAAGUGCGGGACGUGUCCCGUUUUGUAUGUACCUUAUGAAUAAGGAUCGGCUAACUCCGUGCCAGCAGCCGCGGU
rnacentral:rRNA from 1 species